GUACUAGAGUAAAAUUUUGAAAUUUAAUAAUCAAAAAACGAUGUUUUACAACUUUUUGAACGGUUGAUGAAUGGAUAUCAAAGCUGUUUCUAAUGGGUUUUAACUAUACAGUUGUUUUUGGCAUAAUUUGAAUAAGAACUGUUCGGCGUAUGUGGAACAUCUGAUAACUUUGAACGCUGCCCCCCACCACGGAAUGAAAAACAACCGUAUUGCCCGAUCCGAAACAGUACUGCAUACUGCGAACACGUAGAUCGAUUUUUCAAAACAAUUGUAAUACACGCAACCAUAAGCCCCUGUUUGUUUUUGACUAUUUUUAGAUGUAGGCUAAUGGUUAUUAGCAACUGGAGACAGCUAUUGGGUGGAAGGCUGAAAUAUGUUUUAAGUGUAGAAAGCACCUGUACAAGAGCGUCUCUUCACAGCGACCAGAAUAUUAUAUCACGAUGGGUCUCUCUUAAUGCAACCAAGAUGAAUUACCAAACUAUUUUUGCAUUUAAGUUUUUUGGAAUCGGAACUAACCCACAAGUUCGGGGCAUGCAACGCUUUAGCACUGUUCGGGAGACAAAACUAGCUGCUUUGUCCAGAUUUUCUCAGGUUCAGAAACCGAGCUUCAGUAGCAUCAAUUCAACUCAUCAAUCUUUGCUUUACUAUCCUUUGGAUGUUCUUUCCGUGCGAUGUAAUCUACUGACGCCAUUUAUGAGACAAAUGAGCUCGAAAGGUGGAGCGGAGACAAAACGAAAAGCAAUGGCAAAAAUGCCCAAAACUUACAUCAAAUACAACAAAUUCCGCGACAAAUGGAUGAAAAGAGCUGCAGCGUCGAGGUCUUUUAAGACAUUCAAAAAAGUAUAUUCGGACAAAAAAGCAGCUGAAAAUGGGGCUGAACUUACUAAAAUGGGAAUUGUCGAACGAAUGAAGUUUUUUAUAUCACACUAUGGUAAAGUUUUCAUUCCACUGCAUUAUGUCUUCGGAACCGGUGUCUACUUUUCCACUUGCUAUUUGGCUGUUUAUGUGGGCCUGGACAUAACACCCCUACUGGAACAACUGCCCCAAAACGCCAAGGAUUUUCUGCACUUGGAUAAAGUAAACGAAUAUAAAAAGACUGGCAUCUUCAUUCAGGCCCUGGCCCUCUACAAACUACUCACUCCGUUGCGAUAUCUCUGUAGUGUCACUCUCACGACCUAUAUUGUCAAAUACCUCCGAGAGAGGGGCUCUUUCAUUACUCCUCCCAGCGUGAAAGAAGCUGUAAGUAAAAGUAUCUGGAGACAACGACACAAUUUGAAGACGAAGAGGAAAACGUGGCAGAGUAGACUGAUGCAAAAACGAAAGUGACUUCUGAUUAGUUAACGUAAUGACUUUAGAAAAGGUUAAAAUUAUGUAAGUUUAAACAAUUUAUAACAAUUCAACUUC